CAUGGAGUUUGAUCCUGGCUCAGAUUGAACGCUGGCGGAAUGCUUUACACAUGCAAGUCGAACGGUAGAGGGGGCAACCCCUUGAGAGUGGCGAACGGGUGAGUAAUAUAUCGGAACGUGCCCAGUCGUGGGGGAUAACGUAGCGAAAGUUACGCUAAUACCGCAUACGAUCUAAGGAUGAAAGCGGGGGAUCGCAAGACCUCGCGCGAUUGGAGCGGUCGAUAUCAGAUUAGGUAGUUGGUGGGGUAAACGGCUCACCAAGCCAACGAUCUGUAGCUGGUCUGAGAGACGACCAGCCACACUGGAACUGAGACACGGUCCAGACUCCGUACGGGUAGGCAGCGAGU
rnacentral:rRNA from 1 species